rnacentral:tmRNA from 1 species
GGGGCUGCACUGGUUUCGACGCGGGUUCGGAAUCGCAGCGGGGCAUGUCGAGCUGAAUGCGCUCGUAAAACAGAUUCAAACAAACUAACUGCAAACGACGAACGUUUCGCACUCGC